GUCGUUUUUAUCGCUGAAUUAACUGAAAGAGCCGAUUCGCUUAAAUGAACUGGAGGCGGUCUCUUUAAAUAUCCCAGAAUUCCUCACAGCUCACACGUGUUCAUUGCUUCCCGCACUGCACUGCCGCACAAAGAUCACACACGCGGUCGGUCAGAGACAGCAUGAGCGGAUGCAGUAUGGGCGUUGGCUCAUAUAUUGCUUGGCCUUGAGGCCACAGUUGUGCUUAAGAAUCCUUCUCUAACCAUUAAUUGGUAAGUGAUUUACUUUUUUUUUUAGUUUUUUCAACCCCUUUUAUUGCACAUUCAAGUCCUGUUAUGUCUUGAGUGAUUAAGACGGGGGUAGAUGAAUUCUCUCAAAAACCUUAAGUAUUGGCUUAACAUUCCUUGCUUCGGAUCCUGUCGGGAGAAACAAUUUUUACAAUAGUUAGCCUUGCUAAUUGUAUUUUAAGAUGCUUGAUAAUCAGUCUAAAUGUAUUUUGCAGCUAAUGGCAAAGGCAGAGAAUGUAAGAACUACAGUCAUUAGGUGAGUAACUUGGUCAUAUCACUGCUUUUUCUGCUUGUAUUUCAGACCGCUUGUAUUUUUUCGUUCAACCAGUCUGAUCUAGUCUCAUGAUGCCUCCUAUGCUUUGCCCACUGGAGGCUGUCGGUGUUUCUAGUGGUCAUAUCAGGGGGGUAGAGUGAGCUACUCUUGCUAAAACCUGGGUCAGAGGUCACUUCUCUGUGCCUGGAUCCUGUCGCAAGACACAUGCAUAUAUAAGAAAAUUUAAAUGCAGGCAGUGUUUGUAAUGUGUAACCUGGUUUGAGUUUUAAAGUGAAUUUAGGUUUUCCCUUUCUCUUAACAGAUUCCGUUAAUGGCUUCAUUUUGGGGCACAUGUAUUCAGUGACUGGUGGCUUGUUCCUCGGAAGUGAUGCAACUUGAGUAGAGCUAAUUUUAUUGUUUGGAGAGCGUCUAAAAUGAGUUGGGGCAUUUCUAUUGUAAACCAUGUGUUUAUGUAUUGCACAAUUGUUUUGUAAGUUAUGCGUUGAUUGUUACCAAUAAAGAAAUGCUUACUUGUAGUUUUUUUUUCUGUUCUUAACAUUGAGUCAUGGAUCAUGAGCCAUGUUACCAGGAGAUGACUUUUAGCCAUGGUUAAUCUGUUUUUAGCAUGGCUUCUAUGCAUUUUAUUUCCUUGGAAAAAGAAUCCUCAGAAAUGUCAACAAUUUAGACUGAUGUUUAAAU
rnacentral:lncRNA from 1 species